UACGAAGGGGGCUAGCGUUGCUCGGAAUCACUGGGCGUAAAGGGUGCGUAGGCGGGUCUUUAAGUCAGGGGUGAAAUCCUGGAGCUCAACUCCAGAACUGCCUUUGAUACUGAGGAUCUUGAGUUCGGGAGAGGUGAGUGGAACUGCGAGUGUAGAGGUGAAAUUCGUAGAUAUUCGCAAGAACACCAGUGGCGAAGGCGGCUCACUGGCCCGAUACCGACGCUGAGGCACGAAAGCGUGGGGAGCAAACGGG
rnacentral:rRNA from 1 species